rnacentral:rRNA from 1 species
UACGGAGGGUGCAAACGUUGCUCGGAAUUAUUGGGCGUAAAGCGCACGUAGGCGGUCUGUUAAGUCGGAUGUGAAGGCCCUCAGCUUAACUGAGGAAGUGCAUUCGAAACUGGCAGUCUUGAGUAUGGAAGAGGGUCGCGGAAUUCCCGGUGUAGAGGUGAAAUUCGUAGAUAUCGGGAGGAACACCAGUGGCGAAGGCGGCGACCUGGGCCAAUACUGACGCUGAGGUGCGAAAGCUAGGGGAGCGAACAGG